CACGCUUGGUGAAACUAUGGGUGUGACAAACGGAGAAUGGCACGCAUCCACCACUGUAGCAUCAGACAGAAUAGUUUUACUGCUCUGAAAAUCCUCUGUGCUCUGCCUACUCAUCUCUCCUCUGUAAAUUCCAACCCCUAACCCCAGGCAACCAUUGAUCUUUUACGGUCAUAGUUUUGCCUCUUCCAGAAGGUUAUAUAUUUGGAAUCAGACAGUAUGUGGCCUCUUCAGAUUGGCUUCUUUUGCUUAGUAAUAUGCAUUUCAGUUUCCUGCAUGUCUUUUCAUGGCUUGACAGCUCAUUUCUUUUUAAUGCUGGACAAUAUUCCACUGUCUGGAUGGACCCCAGUUUAUGUGUCCAUCCCCCUACUAAAGGGCAACCUUGGUUGCUUCCAAAUUUUGUCAGUUAUGAAUAAAGCUCUGAUAGACAUUGGUAUGCAGGUUUUUCAGUAGACAUACAUGUUUGAAUCAGUUGGGUACUUUGGUUUGUUUUCUAGCCAAUCUGCCAUUUUUGAGCAAUGCUUCCUUAGAGUAGCUGAUGUGUGGCCAUGUGGGCUCCGUUGACUCCAAGAGAAUCAUGUGAUGUCAGAUCUGGAAGGAAAUUUGGUCAGCUAAUCCAACCGCUCCUUCAUACUUCAGGAAACUGAGGCACACACAUGGGAACUAGUUGUAUUCUAUUCCUUUUAAAAGUCCAAUCUUCCUGAGUUGCAUUUUUUGUUUGUUUUGCUUUGAGAUGUUUUUCAAACGCAGCCACACUAGUUUUUGAAGGACUAGAACAAUUUAAGAUCCCUUGACCAUAGUGACUAGAAGCUAAAAUCUUCAAUAUUACUAUUAGCUUUUUUUAGGGGGAAAAAAAACCAUAUAAACAUGAAAAAAUACAGCAAAUAAUUUUUUUAAAAGGCCAAGCUUGGAGUGGGAAUGCGCAUGGAGAAUAAACACUGUCGGGACAGUGAGAGUUUGGGUUACAACGUCCCAAGUUGGUGGUUUUACUUCCAGGCCACCGCAGGCAAUGCUCGUCUUGCUGACUGCCCCAGUGACCACCACCUACCGCCUCCCAACAGCCCCCCAGCAGGGCACUGGCCUGCAGGCUGGAGGAAAGAGCCACAGCUGUGUGACCACAUGCUAACUGAGACCCCUCCUGUUAUUUCCUUUCAGCUGAGGUCCCAAAACUGAGAGUCACAGGUGACAACUCUUGCUCCUUCUAAAGAGAGGGGUUGAACCAUCUCUGCAGAGCUGGCCAAGGAAAUGGACCUGACCUCAGUCUGAUCAGAAGAGGAUGAGAGUCCAGCUUCCUUUGAAAGGCACUGUCGGAGGAAAGGGUGGUGUUUCCCUCAGUUCAGAACAAGUGACGAGGUCUUUUACAAGAACCGUCUGCGAGCAGUGUGGGUUUUGCCUGAGGGGACAUUGACAUCUUAUGCUGCUCAUGCACCUCCCAUCCCUUCCCCAUAUCCUCUCUCAGCAGAGAUCCGGGUCAGAGCCUGCUUGCUUGCAGAGUUCUUGGGGAAACUUGGCCUACAUUUCCUGGAAUGUGGAGACUGGUGUCUGAUUCUUCCCCGGAAGAAUCUAAAGAGUAUGAAAGGUCUGUGUGGGUGUCCUGGCAGCUGUGGAAGCUGGGCCGGCGUGGUAAGCAGUCCGCCAGAGGAGCAGCCCCUGCUCUAAGGACGGUCAGGUCAGAGGUCCUCUGGGGAGGAGGGGAGAAGUCUCGUCUAGAACCUGCAAGAGCACCUGCAUCAGUCCACACAGGAGCUCACGCAAUCUCAGGAGGAGCCGAAGGAGCAAGCGCCCUGGAGUGAUUCACGGAAUGCUCCAGAACUGACCCUCAAGGGGGGCUGCACCUCUGAGGCCACCCCUCGAGCUAGACGUGAAAGCCACAUCCGCCACCACUCCUCCGUAUACAGGGAAGUGGAGGCGGACACAGGAACACAGCUGCAGAAAGGCCGCAUGUCCACUCUCUCGUUUGUCAGAAACCAUAGCCCAAAGCCUCAGGAAGAGGCCCCCACGUCAUUCCCGACUUCCACAUCUCCUGGUGAGCAGACCCAAUGCACAGAAACAAGGUCGCAUCUGGUAACCUACCUGCAAGGGGAUCUGGCGAGUAGCUUUCAUCCUCCCAUCCUCUCCUCCUGGAAAUAACGUAGGAGGAGGCUGAGAACCAACAGGGGUAGCCAGGCCAGCACCCCCUGAGAGAGAGGAUCCGUAACCGGGCUCCUGUUACACAGAGAACCUCGUUGCCAGAUCACAACAGCACGGCUAAAAAACCUGGCUUUGAAUUGGAUUUUCCAUCGUGAGAAUUACACAACUGCACCCAGGAACGACAACUCAUGGCUUCUCUGAUCCUACAGACAGACAGGUGGACUGGAGAUAAGAAGUGAGAAGUCUAAAGAGGCGAGGGUAGCAAAAUGGCUGGAAUCCAACAGGGAUGUGGCUUCAAGAGGUCAAGGCCACGGCAUCACAACCCUUAGAUGCAAGGCCCAUGACGCCACCAUGGGAAGUGAGUGGUGCGCGGGGGCCCAGACCCUCGCUGUCUCCCAGAGACAUGCCCAGAACCCGGGUCUUUAUUCCGUCAUGCGUGCGAGGUCAUUUGUGAGAGCUGUGCCCACACAGCCAUCAGAUGGUAACAAUUUUCAGUCACUUCCAACAUGAGAUGGUUUUGAGCUUUAAUAUGCAACCAACCUAAUUAUGACUGCAAACACUUUGUUAAGCAAACAAACUUCAAACUCUUUUUAAAAAACCGCUCUUCUCUGGUCAUUUUGUCUUCUACAAAGGCUUUAAAAAUAAAACUGUGUGGGGAACUAGGGAAUCCAGGGAUGAAAAAAAAAACUGCACAAAAUUAAAUGGUUUUAAUGUAA